GUCUUUUUGAUAUUUAUNUAAGGUUUGACCUGCCCCNUGAAUUUUAAAUGGCCGUGGUAUAUUGACCGUGNUAAGGUAGCAUAAUCAUUAGUUUCUUAAUUAGAAUNUGGAAUGAAAGGUUGGAUAAAAAAAUAACUGUCUCUGUUUAAAUUUUUUAAAAAUUUAUUUUUAAGUAAAAAAGCUUAAAUUUAGUUAAAAGACGAGAAGACCCUAUAGAGUUUAAUAGUUAGUUUAUAAUUAUAAUUUAGAAUUGAUUUUAAAGUUAUAAAUAAAUUAUUUAAUUGGGGUGAUUUUAAAAUUUUAUAAACUUAUUUUAUAUUAAUUAAUAUAGUUAUAUAAAUAGAUGAUCCUAUUAUUUAGAUUAUAAGAAUAAAUUACCUUAGGGAUAACAGCGUUAUUUUAUUAAAGAGUUCAUAUCGAAAAUAAAGAUUGCGACCUCGAUGUUGGAUUAAAAUUUAUAUUUAAUGUAGAAGUUAAGUGUUUAAGUCUGUUCGCACUUUUAAAAUUUUACA
rnacentral:rRNA from 1 species